GACGAACGCUGGCGGCGUGCUUAACACAUGCAAGUGGUGCGACGAACCAGGGCUUGCCCUGGGGCAAAGCCGCGAACGGGUGAGUAACACGUGAGUAACCUGCCCCGAUGACCGGGACAACCCGAGGAAACUCGGGCUAAUACCGGAUGUGGUGCACAGUCAUAAGUCUGUGUACUAAAGGAAGCUUCGGCCUCCGCAUUGGGAGGGGCUCGCGGCCCAUUAGCUUGUUGGUGGGGUUACGGCCUACCAAGGCAACGAUGGGUAGCUGGUCUGAGAGGACGAUCAGCCACACUGGGACUGAGACACGGCCCAGACUCCUACGGGAGGCAG
rnacentral:rRNA from 1 species